rnacentral:rRNA from 1 species
ACACCGGCAGCUCAAGUGGUAGCCGCUUUUAUUGGGCCUAAAGCGUCCGUAGCCGGUCUGAUAAGUCUCUGGUGAAAUCCCACAGCUUAACUGUGGGAAUUGCUGGAGAUACUAUCAUGACUCGAGGUCGGGAGAGGCUGGAGGUACUCCCAGGGUAGGGGUGAAAUCCUGUAAUCCUGGGAGGACCACCUGUGGCGAAGGCGUCCAGCUGGAACGAACCUGACGGUGAGGGACGAAAGCCAGGGGCGCGAACCGGAUUAGAUACCCGGGUAGUCCUGGCCGUAAACGAUGUGGACUUGGUGUUGGGAUGGCCUCGAGCUGCCCCAGUGCCGAAGGGAAGCUGUUAAGUCCACCGCCUGGGAAGUACGGUCGCAAGACUGAAACUCAAAGGAAUUGGCGGGG